CCACCAAUGGUGUAGGAGGAUUCCCUUUUCUUCACACACUCUCUAGUAUUUGUUAUUUGUAGACUUUUUAAUGAUGGCCAUUCUGACUGGUAUGAGGUAGACAAUAUUACCUAUCAUAGGUGAUAUAAAGAUGAGUACAAAGGUGAAAUUGUUAACAUGGUUUAUGUGAAAUACUUAGACAUAUAGGACAAUUCGAAUCUAUCUGGGUAGCCUAGGUUUUUAUUUGCUAAAUCUAGCAACCCUGGAUGUUAGGGAAGAGCGCUUGAGGCGUGAAGGAGAAAGCUGACUUUGGGGAGUAUCACAGAGUUCAGUGUGGCCUAGCAUAAUGGGGCGGGAGAAGGCAAUGGCAACCCACUCCAGUACUCUUGCCUGGAAAAUCCCAUGGACGGAGGGGCCUGGUGGGCUGCAGUCCAUGGGGUUGCUAGGAGUCAGACACGACUGAGUGACUUCACUUUAUUUUUUCACUUUCAUGCAUUGGAGAAGGAAAUGGCAACCCACUCCAGUAUUCUUGCCUGGAGAAUCCCAGGGACUGGGGAGGCUGGUGGGCUGCCGUCUAUGGGGUCGCACAGAGUCAGACACAACUGAAGCGACUUAGCAGCAGCAGCAGCAGCACCAUAAUGGGGUGGCAGAGGUAGAUGUGCAUUUGUAUUUCAUGUGGGGGUGACAUGUGGAGGACAAAAGCAUGAAGCGAAGCUGAAAAAGAGGUGGAAUCCAGGUUUUUUAAGCCUCAUAUUUUAUACUAUGGAAUUUGUACUUUAACCUGCUGUCAUUAGAGAAGCAUUGAGAGAUUCAAGCAAAGCAGUGAAGUAACAAGAAGAGAUGAUUGCAUUAUGAGACUAAUGUGCUGCCCAUUGCACCAAGAAGGUACUCAGAUUAUUGUAUUAAAAGGUCUUUCUGGAGGCAGAAGGGGUUGAAGCCAAGAAGCUGGGGGCAGGCUGACCAGCAGCUGCAGUCUAGGCAAGCAGUCUGGGUAAGAGGAUGGAGGCUUAAUGGAAACAGUGGAGACUUCCCUGGUGAUCCAGUGGUUAAGAAUCUGCUUUGCAUUGCAGGGGAUGUGGGUUCGAUCCCUGAUCAGGGAACUAGCAUCCCACAGGCUGUGGUGUAACGAAGCCAAUGUGGCAACUACUGAUCCUGAAUGAUCUGGAGCCUGUGUCCGUGUGCCACAAAAGAUCCUGUGUGCCACAACCAAGACCCGGUACAGCCAAAGAAGCAGGUUCCCAGUCUGAGCCACCAGGGAUGCCCCCACUGGCGAUCUUACAGAGAGCAAUUUCAGCCUAGUGUUGCAAAGCAGAAGCCAGAAGGAAAGAUAAAUGCAAAAUGCUUGGGGCCCAGAGAUCAUGCUUUUUUGAACAGAGAAGAGACUCAAAGGAGAGAGACGCUGAGUGAUUAACAAUGUGAUUGUUCACAACUGACCGCAGCUGACAAUUUCCUUAAACUCAUUUUAGGUCAUGUUCUGGAAUGAGAGGCUGGUGCAUGUUUAGCCAGUCUCUCCCCAUUUUGUGACAAAAUCAACUGAUUCUGUUUCCCUCUUCUGAAUAUUCUUCUGAGAAAACAAUUUUAUGCAUCUCUAUAAAUAAUACAUUUAUAUCCUAAGUCAGAAAUUUUGAUGUGAAAAUUCUCA
ensembl:lncRNA